rnacentral:rRNA from 1 species
UACGGGGGGAGCAAGCGUUGUUCGGAUUUACUGGGCGUAAAGGGCGCGUAGGCGGCCACCGCAAGUCGAUUGUGAAAUCUCCGGGCUUAACCCGGAAGGUCAACCGAUACUGCGGGGCUAGAGUGCAGAAGGGGCAACUGGAAUUCUCGGUGUAGCGGUGAAAUGCGUAGAUAUCAGGAGGAACACCAGUGGCGAAGGCGGCGUCACUGGACCGGUAUUGACGCUGAGGUGCGAAAGCGUGGGAGCAAACAGG